GACGAACGCUGGCGGCGUGCUUAACACAUGCAAGUCGAACGGAAAGGCCCUGCUUUUGUGGGGUGCUCGAGUGGCGAACGGGUGAGUAACACGUGAGUAACCUGCCCUUGACUUUGGGAUAACUUCAGGAAACUGGGGCUAAUACCGGAUAGGAGCUCCUGCUGCAUGGUGGGGGUUGGAAAGUUUAGGCGGUUGGGGAUGGACUCGCGGCUUAUCAGCUUGUUGGUGGGGUAGUGGAUUACCAGGGCUUUGACGGGUCGCCGGACUGAGAGGGUGACGGGCAAAGUGGGGUCUGAGAGACGCCCCAGUCUCAACGGGAGGCAGCAGUGGGGAAUAUUGCACAAUGGGAGGAAGCCUGAUGCAGCAACGCCGCGUGCGGGAUGACGGCCUUCGGGUUGUAAACCGCUUGCGCCUGUGACGAAGCGUGAGUGACGGUAAUGGGUAAAGAAGCACCGGCUAACUACGUG
rnacentral:rRNA from 1 species